rnacentral:lncRNA from 1 species
GUCCUCGACAAGUUGUGAUUGCUGCAAUUACUGUUCACUGGGCAUGAAUGCUUCAAAAUGUAGCUCAGAUUGUUCCCUGAAUACAAGACAUACAUACCCCAGCAAAGCUAUCUCCACCUACAAGUACAGUAACUUCUUUCAGGGAUUAUAGCACAUGAGAGUUUCAACAGUGUUUUGUAUUAUGACUUCUCAAGAGAAAACAGAAGAACAUCCCUUUGUGGAUAUAUUUAAUGAAGAUGAAACUGAACAAUGUUUUUUGUUGUCCCGACCUCUUCACUUUGUUGUACUUGGGAAACCAGU